CAGGGCUUCGGAUCCCAAAUUUGACAAGAGUCAUACUCGGGCCCUGAACCAUCAACCUGAUACAACUCAAACAGUUCCCCAGGGCAAAAUAGCACCUUUGGAACCUUAAAUCGACAACUGAGUGUUGAAACCAAGAGCUGCACAUAUGCACACACACCUUGCUACAAGUCUGCAAAAGGAGGCUCUCUUCUCGGUCCUUGCUCCUUCCACCUGACAGGAAUGCCUUAGAAGCCACUUGAUAACAUCUGCAAAAGGGCAGCGAGCUUCCCAUAUAAACAGAGUAGUGAAGGAAAGAAUCCCGGACCACUGAAUUCCAGCACACCAGAGAACUCAACUGGAAAACCAUUCCCUGAGUGCAAGCUGAGGCCCAGAGAGGGGAACAGGACUGUCUCAGGUCACUGGACUGGCUAACCGUGAAGCUGGAGGACACAGGUCUUCUGGAGCCCAUCCAGGGCUCUUUCCAAAAUGAUGAGUGCAAUUAAGGGGCCACUCCAUUUAAAAGUUUCCCCUUUGAACCACCACUGAACUGAGACCUUAGUUCUGUGCAUAUAACACCUACGACACCCACUGGCUGCUGUGGAUCUGUAUCCCCUUUGCCUCCUAACUUGUCUGUGAAGUGUUGAGAGUACAGUCUGUAUCUUUGUGUCUUCCCAGGUGCCUAGCACAGAGGCUGGUACACAGAAGGACCUCAUUAAAGUUUAUUAAAGGAAUGAAUGUUGUGAUGGGUGGAGGAACAAAUUAAUUAAUGCAUAAAAAUAUGUGACCACCUGCAAUAAAAAUAACACUGUGGAGAACACAAAGUAUUUUCAUGUCUAACACCACCUUUGCUUUGCAAAACCAGCUGAAAGGGAGUAUUAUUAUUCCCAUUUUACAGCUGAAGGACCUCAGGCACUUAAAACGAAGAUUCUUUCUCAAAGGCACACAGCUAGGAAGCCAAGGAGCUAAGACUGCACUUAGAUGUUCUGACUCGUAAGAAUCAAUAGCUAAGGAAAAAUACUGCAUGAUUCCAGUUAUAGAAGGCACCUAGAAUAGUCAAACUCAUAGAGAUAGAAACAGAAAGAAGAUAGAAUGGUGGUUGCCAGGGGCUGGCAGGGCUAGGAAUGGGGAGAUGGAUUUAAAUUAUUUUUAAUUUUAUAUAUUUAGGGGGUACAAAUGCAGAUUCCUUAUAUGCAUAUACUGCCUAGUGGUGAAGUCUGGGCUUUUAAUGUACCCAUCACUUGAAUAGUGAACACUGCAAACAAUAGUUAAUUUUUCAACCCUCACCUCUCCCCCACCCUUCCAUCUUUCAUAGUCUUCAAUGUCUAUUAUUCUACUCUAUGUGUCCAUGUGUAUCAUUGUUACCUCCAAGUUAUAAGUGAGACAUGUAGUAUUUGAUUUUCUGUUCCUGAGUUAUUUCACUUAGGAUAACGGUCUCCAGUUCUAUCCAUGUUGCUGCAAAAUACGUGAUUUCAUUUGUUUUGUGG